rnacentral:rRNA from 1 species
AUUGAACGCUGGCGGCAUGCCUUACACAUGCAAGUCGAACGGCAGCACGGGGGCAACCCUGGUGGCGAGUGGCGAACGGGUGAGUAACAUAUCGGAACAUACCCUAGAGUGGGGGAUAACGUAGCGAAAGUUACGCUAAUACCGCAUACGAUCUAAGGAUGAAAGUGGGGGGAUCUUCGGACCUCAUGCUCAUGGAGUGGCCGAUAUCUGAUUAGCUAGUUGGUGAGGUAAAGGCUCACCAAGGCGACGAUCAGUAGCUGGUUUGAGAGAACGACCAGCCACACUGGAACUGAGACACGGUCCAGACUCCUACGGAGGCAGCAGUGGGGAAUUUUGGACAAUGGGGGCAACCCUGAUCCAGCAAUGCCGCGUGAGUGAAGAAGG